GACGACGCUGGCGGCGUGCCUAAUACAUGCAAGUCGAGCGCGGGAAGCGAGCUGAAGCCCUUCGGGGUGGACGCUCGUGGAACGAGCGGCGGACGGGUGAGUAACACGUGGGCAACCUACCUGUAAGACCGGAAUAACCCCGGGAAACCGGGGCUAAUGCCGGGUAACCAAUCGGUUCUCCUGAACCGAUUGUAAAAGGAUGGCUUCUGGCUAUCGCUUACAGAUGGGCCCGCGGCGCAUUAGCUAGUUGGUAAGGUAACGGCUUACCAAGGCGACGAUGCGUAGCCGACCUGAGAGGGUGAUCGGCCACACUGGGACUGAGACACGGCCCAGACUCCUACGGGAGGCAGCAGUAGGGAAUCUUCCGCAAUGGACGAAAGUCUGACGGAGCAACGCCGCGUGAACGAUGAAGGCUUUCGGGUCGUAAAGUUCUGUUGUGAGGGAAGAACAAGGAUCGUGCGAACAGAGCGGUCCCUUGACGGUACCUCACGAGGAAGCCCCGGCUAACUACGUGCCAGCAGCCGCGGUAAUACGUAGGGGGCAAGCGUUGUCCGGAAUUAUUGGGCGUAAAGCGCACGCAGGCGGUUCCUUAAGUCUGAUGUGAAAGCCCGUGGCUCAACCACGGAGGGCCAUUGGAAACUGGGGAACUUGAGAACUGAAGAGGAGAGUGGAAUUCCACGUGUAGCGGUGAAAUGCGUAGAUAUGUGGAGGAACACCAGUGGCGAAGGCGACUCUCUGGUCGGUUUCUGACGCUGAGGUGCGAAAGCGUGGGUAGCAAACAGGAUUAGAUACCCUGGUAGUCCACGCCGUAAACGAUGAGUGCUAGGUGUUAGGGGGCUUCCACCCCUUAGUGCUGAAGUUAACG
rnacentral:rRNA from 1 species